rnacentral:rRNA from 1 species
CAGCCGCCGCGGGAAUACGAAGGGGGCUAGCGUUGUUCGGAUUUACUGGGCGUAAAGCGCACGUAGGCGGAUCGAUCAGUCAGGGGUGAAAUCCCAGAGCUCAACUCUGGAACUGCCUUUGAUACUGUCGAUCUGGAGUAUGGAAGAGGUGAGUGGAAUUCCGAGUGUAGAGGUGAAAUUCGUAGAUAUUCGGAGGAACACCAGUGGCGAAGGCGGCUCACUGGUCCAUUACUGACGCUGAGGAGCGAAAGCGUGGGGAGCGAACAGGAUUAGAUACCCCAGUAGUCCCUGUCUCUUAUAA